rnacentral:rRNA from 1 species
UUCUGCCUGAUGGAGGGGGAUAACUACUGGAAACGGUGGCUAAUACCGCAUAACGUCGCAAGACCAAAGAGGGGGACCUUCGGGCCUCUUGCCAUCAGAUGUGCCCAGAUGGGAUUAGCUUGUUGGUGAGGUAACGGCUCACCAAGGCGACGAUCCCUAGCUGGUCUGAGAGGAUGACCAGCCACACUGGAACUGAGACACGGUCCAGACUCCUACGGGAGGCAGCAGUGGGGAAUAUUGCACAAUGGGCGCAAGCCUGAUGCAGCCAUGCCGCGUGUAUGAAGAAGGCCUUCGGGUUGUAAAGUACUUUCAGCGGGGAGGAAGGUGUUGUGGUUAAUAACCGCAGCAAUUGACGUUACCCGCAGAAGAAGCACCGGCUAACUCCGUGCCAGCAGCCGCGGUAAUACGGAGGGUGCAAGCGUUAAUCGGAAUUACUGGGCGUAAAGCGCACGCAGGCGGUCUGUCAAGUCGGAUGUGAAAUCCCCGGGCUCAACCUGGGAACUGCAUUCGAAACUGGCAGGCUUGAGUCUUGUAGAGGGGGGUAGAAUUCCAGGUGUAGCGGUGAAAUGCGUAAAGAUCUGGAGGAAUACCGGUGGCGAAAGCGGCCCCCUGGACAAAGACUGACGCUCAAGUGCGAAAGCGUGUGGAGCAAACAGGAUUAGAUACCCUGGUAGUCCACGCCGUAAACGAUGUCUACUUGGAGGUUGUGCCCUUGAUGCGUGGCUUCCGGAGCUAACGCGUUAAGUACACCGCCCGAGGGAGUACAGCCGCCAGGAUAGAACUCAAAUGAAUUGACGGGCGGCCCGCACAAACGGUGGACCAUGUGGUUUAUUUCAAUGCAACGCGGAGCAGG